AAUGGGUAAUGGCCUUUGCUAGCAGACAUUUCUUUCUACCACCAUAUUUUGAUACUCUUCUCUCUAUCUUUUGUUUUUGAUAGAUUCUAAAUGCCCAUGAAGAAGUCACUCUGCUCAGCUUCUUUUUCUUCUACUGCUACUGCAACUGCAACUGCAACUGCUUCUUCUACAACCAUUCUUGGUCCUUAUCAUAGAGCUGCUUCUGUGUUAAGAGUACUGUUGUUCAGGUUGGUUUACUCGAAGAGUCAAACUUCAGAACUCAAACACUUGAACUCCUCCUUGUUUUAUUUCAGGAAGUUAAGGAAAGUUACAAACUAGAUUCUUUUUUUGUUGUUGGGGGGUUUUGUUUUCUGAUUUGUUUAACUAAAUUUAGAAUCUUUGUUGGUUAGUUUGCCCAUUUUUCUGGUUCUGGGUUUUGGUUGGUAGUUAACAGGAUAAAAUCACAAAAAUUUGUUUGGGAUUAGAAACUCAGAAUCUUGGGAUUCUUUGAUUCCUUUUUAUGGGUGUGUGAAGUGAAGUGAAAUUCUUUUCUCUCCGGCUUUCACUUGCAUUUCCCAACUCGAAGCUAUUUGGUUGGAUAAGAUAGCAUCUUCCCACUUCCACACAUCACUAUCAACCUUUCCUGUUUCUAGUGAAUUUGGAGUUGGGAGUUGGAAGGUGAGCUUGAGGCUAGCUGAGCUUUUCGUUUCUUCUUCUUUCUUGUUCUUCUUGAACUUCUUGCAAGUUUGAGUUUUUCUUUUUUGAUGUUGGGUUUAACUAGACAGGUUCUGUGGAUUUGAUAGUGGGUCUCUCUCUUUCUAUCUCUAUAUCUAUUUCGCUGGAAGUAGCAAGAAGUCAAACCCACUUCAUAUUGCUACUGUUUCUUGUUGUUAAGUUGUGUUGUUGGUUACUGCUGUUGAUGAGUUUGCUUCACGUAGUUGGGUUUGGUCUAAAAGUGGGGCAUCUGCUUUUGAUGCUAUGCUGCUGGAUUGUGUCUGUAAUUUCCAUGAAUUGGUUCAUUAAUGGUGGGAUUAUGGACACCAAGUCUGGAAUGUUUUGUGAUAGUGGCAAGAUGUGGCUCAAAUGGUGGGAAAAAAUUUCAGGGAACAGCUGUAUGAUCCACCAUCACUACUACCAGUAUAUUGGGUCCAAGAGAGUCCCCAAAACAUGGUGGAAGAAGCUUUUGAUGACAUGGGUAGUUGGUUGGCUCAUAGUUUCUUUAUCGAUCUUCUGGUACAUGAGGUUACAAGCUACUGAGAAGAGGAAAGAGACCCUUCAAAGUAUGUGUGAUGAGAGGGCUAGGAUGUUGCAGGACCAGUUUAAUGUAAGUAUGAAUCAUAUUCAAGCCAUGUCCAUUCUGAUCUCAACCUUCCACCAUGGCAAGAAACCCUCUGCUAUUGAUCAGAGGACUUUCGCGAGAUACACAGAAAGAACCGCUUUUGAAAGGCCCCUCACAAGUGGCGUGGCAUAUGCUGUAAGGGUUCUCCACUCUGAAAGGGCACAAUUUGAGGAGCAACAAGGUUGGACAAUUAAGAGGAUGGAUACUCUCGAAAAAAACCCUGUCCAUAAGGACGACUAUGCCCCAGAAGCUUUAGAGCCAUCCCCAAUUAAAGAAGAAUAUGCUCCUGUCAUCUUUGCACAGGAUAUCAUUUCUCAUGUGGUUUCGAUCGAUUUGCUGUCGGGGACGGAAGAUCGUGAAAAUAUAUUGCGUGCAAGAGCUUCUGGAAAGGGAGUUCUAACUGCUCCUUUCAGGCUACUGAAAUCAAACCGUCUUGGAGUUAUAUUGACAUAUGCUGUCUACAAGAGGGAUCUCCCCUCAAAUGCUACCCCAAAUGAGAGGAUUCAAGCAACUGAUGGGUACAUUGGUGGUGUCUUUGAUGUCGAGUCACUUGUGGAGAAGUUGCUUCAACAGCUUGCUAGUAAACAGACCAUCCUUGUGAAUGUUUAUGACACUACUAAUCGCUCACAUCCAAUCAGCAUGUAUGGUUCAAAUGUAUCGGCUGAUGGUUUGCAGCAUGUUAGCACUCUUAAUUUUGGAGAUCCCUUCAGGAAGCAUGAGAUGCGUUGCAGAUUCAAACAAAAACCACCAUGGCCAUGGUUGGCUAUAACAACUUCAAUUGGCAUCCUCGUGAUUGCAUAUCUUGUUGGAUAUAUAUUUCAUGCAACUGUGAAUCGAAUUGCUAAAGUGGAGGAUGAUUACAACAAGAUGAUGGAGCUAAAAAAAAAAGCCGAGGCUGCUGAUGUUGCCAAAUCUCAGUUCCUUGCUACUGUCUCCCAUGAGAUCAGAACUCCAAUGAAUGGUGUUCUUGGAAUGUUGCAUAUGCUCAUGGACACAGAUCUUGAUGUUACUCAACAAGAUUAUGUCAGAACUGCACAAGGCAGUGGAAAAGCUCUAGUCUCACUCAUAAAUGAGGUUUUAGACCAGGCAAAGAUUGAAUCUGGCAGGCUUGAGCUUGAUGCAGUGCAAUUUGAUCUGCGAGCAAUUUUAGAUGAUGUUCUGUCACUCUUUUCUGGAAAGUCCCAGGAAAAGGGAGUGGAGCUGGCAGUUUAUAUUUCAGACCGGGUUCCUGAAAUGCUAAUUGGUGAUCCAGGAAGGUUUCGCCAAAUCAUUACCAAUCUUAUGGGUAACUCGAUCAAAUUUACAGAGAAAGGACACAUAUUUGUCACUGUUCAUCUUGUCGAGGAGGUGAUUGGUUCAACAGAAGUUGAGACAUCAUCAGAGAACACCUUGAGUGGAUUCCCUGUCACUGAUAGAUGUUGUAGUUGGAAAGGAUUUAAGGCUUUCAGUCAAGAGGGAUCCACUUUUCCUCUCUCACUGCCCUCUGACUCAAUCAACCUAAUUGUAUCUGUUGAGGAUACAGGAGCAGGGAUCCCUCCGGAGGCGCAAUCUCGUGUUUUCACUCCUUUUAUGCAGGUUGGACCAUCAAUCUCCCGAAUACAUGGGGGCACAGGUAUUGGCCUGAGCAUUAGCAAGUGUUUAGUUGGCCUUAUGAAUGGGGAAAUUGGUUUUGUGAGCAUUCCAAAGACUGGUUCCACCUUUACAUUUACUGCUGUCUUCACCAAUGGCUGCUCCAAUCCCGAUGAGUAUAAAAGCCAUAAAAUUAACUACCAAUCCAAUUCUGCAUCCACAGAAUUUCAGGGCAUGACAGCGUUAGUUGUAGACCCUAGACCUGUACGGGCUAAGGUCUCAAGAUAUCAUAUCCAACGGCUUGGAAUUAGUGUUGAAGUAGUCUCUGAUUUGAAUCAAGGUUGGUCUAACAUAAGCAGUGGCAAUGGGGCUAUUGAUAUUGUCCUUGUUGAACAGGAGGUUUGGGAUAGGGAUUCACACCUUUCAUCUCUUUUCAUUAAUAACUUAAAGAAAAUUGACCGUCGGACUCCUCCUAAGUUGUUCAUUCUAGCUAAUUUUAUCAGUACAUCCAGAACAAGUGCCACAACUUCAGGUGAUAAUACCCCAUCUAUCAUCAUGAAGCCCCUAAGAUCAAGCAUGCUUGCUGCCUCAUUACAGCGAGCCAUGGGUAUUGGGAGCAAGGGGAUUGCCCGCAAUAGGGAGCAAGGGGCUCUCCGCAAUCUUCUUCUUGGGAGAAAAAUCCUUAUCAUAGAUGACAAUAAUGUGAAUCUGAAAGUAGCUGCUGGUGCUUUGAAGAAGUAUGGGGCUGAAGUAGAAUGUGCAGACAGUGGAAGAAAGGCAGUCUCAUUGCUUAAGCCACCUCACUGCUUUGAUGCCUGUUUCAUGGAUAUCCAAAUGCCGGAAAUGGAUGGGUUUGAAGCUACAAAACUAAUUCGGGAAAUGGAGAAACAUGGAGAAACAUCUGUGGAGGCCUAUGAUAAUGUUUCAAAUUGGCAUGUUCCCAUUUUGGCCAUGACAGCAGAUGUAAUCCAGGCUACACACGAGGAAUGCCUAAAAUGUGGAAUGGAUGGAUAUGUUUCAAAACCAUUUGAAGCUGAACAACUUUAUAGGGAGGUUUCACGGUUUUUCCAAUCAGUUCCAAAUGGGAUUCUAUAGAGACGACUUCUGUUCUAAUGGCUUGCCAAUGAUACAAGCAUGACUAGCUGUUCUCGUGGAUGCUUAGGAAUGCUUAAAUGGGUUCAAAUUCUUUCCAAGAGAAGAUAUUUGCUGAUUGUGGCAGAGUGUAUAUAAUAGCCAUGCAUGAUUGGUUCGGAUUGAGUUUUUGUUGAUUUUUCUGAUGAGCCAGAUGUAGAAGACAAUUCAUUUUAUCACGUGUAAAGUUCAUCUCAUUUCCAAGCCUUUCACCAGGGGUUAGUUAUUUGAGGUAUCUCUGCAAGUAAAGGUUCUUUGAUGGGACCUUAACUGGGCCAAGAAAAAUCCCUGGACUUGGAUGUAUCAUAGAAGCUCUGAGGUUGCAUCCUUUUCACAGUGCAAUAAUAAAGAUUGCACUCCUUGAAGAGAUCUCACCCUUUCUCUGAAUGUCAAUUUUUGUAUUAUAGUCAUUGAUUCAGUUGAAGGAAUGAAAUAUAACUUCUCGGCAACAGGAGAGAAUGCAUUGUGCAUAUUACCUACAACUCCUAUAAAGAAGUUUGAUGUGUACUUAUAUAGUAACCCCUUUUUUUUUCCUUUUUCUUUUUUUUUUUCCUAACAAUGCGAAAAGUUUGUCCAACAGAGAAUUGAUGUAACUAAGACACUAGACAUUUGAGUAAUAUCACCAUUCUUGCCUGAUUUGUACAUUUCUUGAACCACUUCGGCUGAUUAUGAUUUUCAGUAUGGUAUCAAUGCAAACAUACUUCUUGAA